rnacentral:rRNA from 1 species
GGAGUAUGGGCCGUGUCUCAGUCCCAUUGUGGCUGAUCAUCCUCUCAAACCAGCUACUGAUCAUCGCCUUGGUAGUCCAUUACACCACCAACCAGCUAAUCAGGCACAGGCUCAUCUUAGGGCACCGGAGUUUUCAAGAUAACUAUUUCAAGUUAGCUCAUAUGGGGUAUUAGCAGGAGUUUCCCUCUGUUGUCCCCCACCCUAAGGCAGAUUUCCUAUGUUGUACUCACCCGUCCGCCACUUAUGUAUCUCCGAAGAGACCUUAUCGUUCGACUUGCAUGUAUGAGGCACACCGCCAGCGUUGUCCUGAGCCACUGAUCAAACUACU